rfam:Comamonas testosteroni KF-1 ctg14069, whole genome shotgun sequence.
CCUUGUGUGCGACCACAAGUAGCCUACGGUGACAUGCAAACCUAGUAAUGGGUCUGUGUGAAGCUCACCUGACAAAGUACCCCCGCGCAAGCGGUACACCUAACCCGUGAGGGCGGAUGUAGACACUGCCAGCAGAAGGGCGGUAGAGGGG